GGCGAACGCUGGCGGCGUGCCUAAUACAUGCAAGUCGAACGCUGAAGCGAGGAGCUUGCUCUCCUUGGAUGAGUUGCGGACGGGUGAGUAACGCGUAGGUAACCUGCCUUGUAGCGGGGGAUAACUAUUGGAAACGAUAGCUAAUACCGCAUAACAAUAGGUGACACAUGUCCUUUAUUUGAAAGGGGCAAUUGCUCCACUACAAGCUGGACAUGCGUUGUAUUAGCUAGUAGGUGAGGUAACGGCCCACCUAGGCGACGAUACAUAGCCUGCCUGAGAGGGAGGUCCGCCACCCUGGGACCGGGACACGGCCCCGGCCUCUUCGGGAGGGAGCAGGAGGGGAACUUCGGACAAGGGGGCAACCCUGACCGAGGCACGCCGGGGGGGGGGAGAAGGGUCUCGGAUCGGAAAGCUCUGUUGUUAGGCAAGAACGAGCGUGGGAGUGGAAAGUUCACACUGUGACGGUAGCUGAACAGAAAGCAACGGCUAACUACGUG
rnacentral:rRNA from 1 species